rnacentral:rRNA from 1 species
CCUACGGGAGGCUGCAGUGGGGAAUAUUGGACAAUGGGGGGAACCCUGAUCCAGCCAUGCCGCGUGUGUGAAGAAGGCCCUCGGGUUGUAAAGCACUUUCAGUGAGGAAGAACGCCUGGUGGUUAAUACCCAUCAGGAAAGACAUCACUCACAGAAGAAGCACCGGCUAACUCCGUGCCAGCAGCCGCGGUAAUACGGAGGGUGCGAGCGUUAAUCGGAAUUACUGGGCGUAAAGCGCGCGUAGGUGGCUUGAUAAGCCGGUUGUGAAAGCCCCGGGCUCAACCUGGGAACGGCAUCCGGAACUGUCAAGCUAGAGUGCAGGAGAGGAAGGUAGAAUUCCCGGUGUAGCGGUGAAAUGCGUAGAGAUCGGGAGGAAUACCAGUGGCGAAGGCGGCCUUCUGGACCGACACUGACACUGAGGUGCGAAAGCGUGGGUAGCAAACAGGAUUAGAUACCCUAGUAGUC